GUCUGCGAGAAAGGGGAGGGGCGGCGGUGGGCAGCCUAGGGAGGAGAGGAGGGGCGAGACGCCGUCGCCAGCCCCCUCCUCUCGUCUGCGCUCCCUUCGUUUCCCUCUCGGCCGGGCACCCGAGCGCAUCCCGCCGAGGCCGGGCCGUUUCAGGGGGAGGCGCCAACUCGUCGCGGCGCCGGGCCCCUGACCGUGCAGUAACCGCUACCCAGGAGGCGGAGCGGACAAGGCUCCGGCCUGCGAGGAGUCACAUUAACUUUGCUCUAGAAGACAACUUUACAAGGAUCUAAAAGGAACAGGAUUAAAGAUGACUGAAUACUGGGUUCCAGAAAUUUAAAACAAUCAGCUUAGCAAAUCAUAUAUUCUUCUGUGGAGCUGAGAAUUGAUGUCCGCUCUUCCCCGUGAUUUGGAACUUUCCAAUCCCAGAGAAAAGUUGACAAAGGGACUGCCCAGGACUGAGUCCAUAUGGAAGAAGAACUUCCUCUUUUCUCUGGAGACAGUGGCAAGUUCUGGAGGCCAGAAGUCUGAAAUCAAGGCAUCAUCAGGGCAAUGCUCCCUCGAUAUCUCUCAGGAAGAAUCUUCUCAGCUUCUGGUGGUGGCCCCCAGCAAUCCUUGCUGCUCCUUGACUUCCAGAUGCAUUACUGCAGUCCCUGUGUCUGUUGUCACCUGGCCUUCUUCCCUGUGCGUCACUGUGUGCCCUCUCGUCUUCUUUUAAGGACACUAGUCAUUGGACGUAGGGUCCACUCUAAUCCAGUAUGACUCCAUCUUAACUCAUUACAUCUGCAAAGACCCUAUUUCCAAACAAAGUCACCUUCUGAGGUUCUAGGUGGAUCUGGACUUUGGGGGGAAGCCAUUCAACCCACUGCAGCUCCUCUCUGGGGUUUCUUCGGGUUUCUCAGAAAACUAUCUUUUGAGCUCUUUUUAGCUACAGCAUUCAAUAGUGCCAUGAAGAUUAUUCAGAAAAGAUAGAAACCUGAAAACAAAGCUUUAUUUACAAGAAAAAAGCUGGUGGCUCUGCUUAUUUUUGCUUUAGGUCCAGUGGCCAUUGGGACAGCUGCUCUGUGCAUCCUAGCUUCCCUUUACUGACUGCAGACUUUACUUUGGAUACAAGUUAAUACUGUUGGCCGUGAUCAGAAGGAAACUUAAAAGUUUGAGGACUUAGUAACAAAGUUGUGUUUGAUGAUAUGGCUCAGGUGAAGUAGAAAUGGAGAGCUUGGAGCCGAGAGCAGGGAUUUGGGGCCCAGUUUUCAGAAUGGCUUCCGUGUGAAGGAGUUACAGAGGAUGAGAUGGAAAGGAGGGCUGUGAAUCUGGAAAUGAGUCACAGCCAUUCAUUUACUUGUUCAUUAACCAACACAAAGCCAGUACAGGCUACUCUGUCAUCUUUGAAGAUGUUAGAUGUGGGAAAGUGGCCAAUUUUUUCCCUUUGUUCUGAAGAAGAACUACAGUUAAUUCGUCAGGCUUGUGUCUUUGGCAGUGCUGGCAAUGAAGUUUUAUACACUACAGUAAAUGAUGAGAUUUUUGUGCUUGGCACAAACUGCUGUGGCUGUUUGGGGUUAGGUGACGUCCAGAGCACCAUUGAACCUCGGAGACUGGAUUCUUUAAAUGGCAAAAAAAUAGCCUGCCUCAGCUAUGGGAGUGGUCCACAUAUUGUCCUUGCAACAACAGAAGGAGAAGUCUUUACCUGGGGUCAUAAUGCUUAUAGCCAGCUGGGCAAUGGGACAACUAAUCAUGGUUUAGUGCCCUGUCAUAUCUCUACUAAUCUGUCAAACAAACAAGUCAUUGAAGUUGCCUGUGGGUCUUACCAUUCUUUGGUGCUAACAUCUGAUGGAGAGGUAUUUGCCUGGGGUUAUAAUAACUCUGGGCAGGUAGGAUCUGGAUCAACAGUUAAUCAGCCAAUCCCUCGAAGAGUCACUGGCUGCCUACAAAAUAAAGUAGUUGUGACCAUAGCAUGUGGGCAGAUGUGCUGCAUGGCAGUAGUAGACACGGGGGAGGUCUAUGUCUGGGGUUACAACGGAAACGGGCAGCUUGGACUCGGCAACAGUGGCAACCAGCCAACCCCUUGCAGAGUGGCAGCUUUGCAAGGCAUCCGUGUCCAGCGGGUCGCCUGUGGCUACGCACACACAUUAGUAUUAACAGAUGAAGGCCAAGUGUAUGCUUGGGGCGCCAAUUCUUAUGGGCAGUUGGGCACUGGCAAUAAAAGCAACCAGUCCUAUCCUACUCCUGUCACUGUGGAAAAGGACAGGAUUAUCGAGAUUGCAGCCUGUCACUCCACACACACGUCUGCGGCCAAGACGCAGGGUGGGCACGUGUACAUGUGGGGCCAGUGCCGGGGUCAGUCCGUGAUCCUCCCGCACCUCACCCACUUCUCCUGCACUGACGACGUGUUUGCCUGCUUUGCCACACCCGCCGUCACGUGGCGCCUCCUCUCCGUGGAACCUGAUGACCACCUCACGGUGGCUGAGUCACUGAAGAGGGAAUUUGACAACCCGGACACUGCAGACCUGAAGUUUCUAGUUGAUGGAAAGUACAUUUAUGCACAUAAAGUCCUUCUCAAGAUUCGAUGUGAGCAUUUUCGUUCGUCAUUGGAAGAUAACGAGGAUGAUAUUGUAGAAAUGAGUGAAUUUUCAUAUCCUGUUUACCGGGCCUUCCUGGAAUACCUAUACACAGACAGCAUCAGCCUUUCUCCUGAGGAGGCAGUAGGUUGACUGGACAGAUAAGAGAGAGAAGAAUCAAAUCAUCACCACCGUGGAGCAUUGCAGGCAGCAGCAUGGAGGAAGGGACAGAGACUGAGGGCCAUGCAGCAGAUCCCCGUGUCUCCACCAGCAGGGCCCAGGAAUUCCACUUAUUUCAGGCUGUGGGCCUGAGUCAGUCAAGUCUGUGCCCAGCGGCUUAGGAGGCUGGGAAAAUGGGCAUUUCCAGAGGGCCGUAGCUUGGCUAAAAAUUCUGUGGUUUCAGUAGAAAGGAAGAAUGGAUGUGUGUGUGAGAGAGAGAGAGAGAGUGUGUGUGUGUGUGUGUGUGUGUGUGUGUGUUGGGGUAGGGGUCGGGAGAGAGGCAACUAGCAGCUUCUGCCACAGGAGAGAUGUGAUCUGUGUUUAAAACAUCAGUUAUUAUAUUGGUUCAGGUGUGAGAUGAUGGUCUCCUGGGUUGGGGUUGUAUAGCAGUGGAAGUAUUGAAAAGAGAUCAGAUUCUAGAUAUAUUUUAAAGAGGUUGCUGAUGGGAUUUGUUGAUAGAUGGGAUGAGAGGUGUGAGUUGAGAGAGAAGGAUGGCUGCACUGAGGUACUUGGCCUGGGUAGCUGCCUUAAUGGCACUGAGGUGAGGAAGAUAGAGAACAACAGGCUUGCUCUGGACUUUGAAAGUCAAAGGAGUUUGAGCUUCCCAUUAGAUACCCAAGUGAUAAUUUUUUUCUUUUUGAGACAGAGUUUCACUCUUGUUGCCCAGGCUGGAGUGCAAUGGCACUAUCUCGGCUCACCACAACCUCCGCCUCCCGGUUUCAAGCGAUUCUCCUGCCUCAGCCUCUCGAGUAGCUGGGAUUACAGGCAUGCACCACCAUGCCUGGCUAAUUUUGUAUUUUUAGUAGAAACGAGGUUUCUCCUUGUUGGUCAGGCUGGUCUUGAACUCCCGACCUCAGGUGAUCCGCCCAUCUUGGCCUCCCAAAGUGCUGGGAUUACAGGCGUGAGCCACUGCGCCCGGCCGCGAGUGGCAGUUUUUUAUCAGCCCACCACUAACAUUUGUGGGGCUGUAGCCAAGACUCCAAAUGGAGACCUAUGUUCCAUAUGUCUAAAAACUUAAAGUUAUAUGUCAAGCUAGUGAACUUCAGAUAAAAAUAUGUCCAAUCCUCCCACCUUGAAAAAUGUAAUUUCAUUAAGAACUGAAAGGACAGGUUUCAAUUUUAGUUGACAUUUAGAGUUGCAGGACUUCUUGUGCCAGAACCCAAUGGCACAGGCAGGACAGGCCCCUCCUCCAGCAGAAGGGUGUGUGGGCACCCUAGCUUGCAUUCCAAGCUCUAUCCACCCCCAACCCAGGUUACCCUUUUGGGCCAGGGGGUCUGCACAUUGGUGGUGGGGUCUAAGGGAGGAAAUACCCACACAUGUGGCCUCAAGGCCAAUUAUGCAGGCAGUCCCAGGUUCCCAGGUACCCAAAGUGUGGUCUAGAAGUGGGCAUGUGGCUCCUUAGCCACCCCGUGCUGAAGGUGUGCGUGGAGGAGGCGCAGAGCCGGGGCUUGGGGCAGAGUCCUCUCUUAGGGCAGUGCAGCUUGCAUGUGUGUCUGAAGCUUGGGGCCAAAAACAAUGAAGCCAUUCACAACUCAAGAUUUCAGUGUCCUCCAGUGGGCUAUCUGUCUUUCCUCUAUAACUUUGAUAAUAUUUGUUAUUAAAAAAGCAAGUUUCCAACCAAAGUCUACCACAUGUAUAAGAUUUAUUAGCAGAUAGACACAAAAACAAUUAAUAUGGUGAAAUUGAUGAAAUCCCUGCUCUUUAUACUUCGUACACUCUAUUAAGUACCUUGCGUGAAAAGUUAGCUUGAGGUGGACAUGACAGUGUUCUAGUAGCCGGAUUCAGCUAGCCUUUUGAUCCUGGCUACCACUCAUUUCAGCAAUGACAAACUAAUUCUGACAUUCUUUAUGCUAAUUACAAAUCCUGUAAUGAAGAUUCAGAAAAACAAAUAGGAUCUUUCAGAUGCUGAUUGACUGCUUCAAUUAGAGUACUUCCUAUCAUUCCUUGGGGUAGAUUAAAAUUAAUUUACAUAUGUCACCUCACCCAGUCUACGUUGAAUUACUUGAAAAUAGGUGACAGGUAAUAUAACAGGACUUACCUGCAUAUAUAGAUGAUAUUUAAAACCCUGGGGCUGGGGUUUUGGGAAGUAAGUGAGGAAAGUGUCUGAGGAUUUAACCCUGGGGCACUCAAACAUUUGGAAGUCAGGAAAAAUGAUCCAGCCUAGAGAACUGAGGAGCAACUAAUUAAAGAGAAGAAAAAUGCAAGCAAGUGACAAAGUGUCCUAAGGAGAGCAUUAUCAACCAUAUCAAAUUCUGUGUAAAUGUCGAGUAAGAGGAAACCAGAGAAUAUUGCACCCUCAAAGCCACUGUGACUGCCACAGGUGUGACCACCAAGGGUGUGACUGCAGUAGUGGUGGGGAUGGGGUUCUGCUUGUAAUGGCUUGAGGUCAGAAUGGGAGGUGGGAAAAUGGAGACAGCAGAUACAGAUAGCUCUGUCUAGGAGUUUUGCUGUAGAGAGGAGCAGUGGGAUAGGGUAACAGGAGGAAGACACGUGUCCAUGAAAGGGUCUCCCCUCCCCUCCUCUCCCCUCUCCUCCUCUCUCCUCACCUCCUCUCCCCUCACCUCCUCUCCCCUCCCCUCUUCUCUUCUCCCCUCCCUUCCCCUCCCCUCCCUCUCCUGCCCUCUCUUCUUUUCUUCUCUUUUGUUUUCUUUUCUUCUUUUCUUUCUUUUCACGGCGGGCACUCUUACAGCAUGUGUGUGUGCUCCUGGGAGUGGCCCAGGAGAAGCUGACAUUGAGAUUGCAGGGGAAGGGGUCAUUCAAGGCGCACAUGCUUUUUUCCUAGGAAAAAAAUAUUAAAGCUAUUUUCCCUGUGCUCCUGUUUUUCAACAGCUAAUGAUUUGUGUAUCAUGUUUGCUCAGCUUGGCUGCCAUCCUGGGUAGAGCCCCACACUGAAGUAUAAGUGUCAGUCAGCAUCAGUCUAUGCAGUGCUUCACUGAGGAUUAUAUCUAAAAUAGUGUCAAAAUCAUCUCUGAGUGGCUGAGUGAGCAAGUGUAAAUCAGGAUGCUUGAAAUCACUCCCCCUAAUAAACACCUCUUUCCGCCAGGACUGCUAGACUUGGCUACAUUUUAUAGAGAAAAUCGUUUGAAAAAGCUCUGCCAACAAACUAUCAAGCAAGGCAUCUGCGAGGAGAAUGCCAUCGCUCUGCUCUCGGCUGCGGUGAAGUAUGAUGCACAGGAUUUAGAAGAAUUCUGCUUCAGGUUUUGCAUAAACCAUCUGACUGUAGUAACACAAACAUCAGGUUUUGCAGAAAUGGACCAUGAUCUCCUGAAGAACUUUAUCAGCAAAGCAAGCAGAGUUGGAGCCUUUAAAAAUUGAUCCCAUCUGCAGGAAAGUUUUUGAGCCUUUCCAUUUCCCCUGCAAAAGCCAGAGAUGAAUCACUUCUCUUUAAUUAAUAGUAUGUAUGAUGAGCUAUGUUUGGCUGAGUACUUGUAACUGUCAGAAGAAGGAUGGUGGUGAGUGGGCUUUGUCUGCCUAAACCCAGAGUUUAUGUAGAAAGCAUUGAAUGUUCUGAUCAGAUGUGACUAAGGUCAAGGAAAAAAAAUUGAAAUAUCUUAUUUACCAUUUCCUCUUUUUGAGUCACUUAAGUUGGACACCUUUGGUACCCUGGUCUCAGUAUAUGCUAUUCUGGCCCAAAUGUUCCAUUAUUCAGCUGGCUGAUACCACAUAGAUAGCUUGACAAGGAGUGCUGUCUGUCCUUACCACAUUUUCAGCACUCAGCACAGCGCCUUGUGUAUAAUAGGCACUCAAUUUAUUAUAAAUCUUCAGUAUGUCCUGAGAACAGCUUUAGUCAUGGAAUACUGGGAGAAGGAAUAACUUUCACAAAAUAAACUUAAAACAGCCUGUAAUUAUUGAGGUUCAUGUUCUUCUGGUAUAUCAUUCUGAGAAAUUGUGGCUAAUUUAGAACAUUGUUUAGAAUUGACAAAAGGCCCUGGCAAUUAAAUUUUCAGAGGCCCAAGGGCUAAUUUUAAUUUUCUUUUUACUUGGAGUCAUUCAUUAAUUUCUCACAUGGGAUUAUGGAGUAUGAAGUAUUAUCUUUGAAUGAAAUUCCUGGGCUGAUCUGCCUUACAUAAUCAUAUAAGGUCCUUUGCUUUUCUUUGUGUUAAGAGGGAUUUGCCUCUGUAAAUGAAAAUGACAAUGUGCUUUUCUUGUAGUUGACUUUCAUGUCACUAUAAAAUAGGUCUCUUAACCUGGCAUCAGUAUAACUAUAAAGCACUAGCUGAGAAGGAAGUGAUACUUACAUUUCAUGGACAGCAUUAACAAGAAUGAGAUAAAUUUGUACUUUUUAGAUCAAAACAAAUUACCUAAUUGCAAAAGAGAAACUGAAAUGGAACAUAGUCUCAGAUUCUUCUAAUGUGUAUCUCACAAUAUCAUGUAAUGUAAAGAAAACCCUUUUGGAAUUAGAAUUCUUGUUCUGAUGCUGAACUAUUUGGUAAUAAAGUGCUUAUUUGCAGAUAACAGAACAAA